AAGGAAUAUUGGUCAAUGGAGGGAACUCUGAACCAGCCAUUCCGCGUGGAGGAAGAAGGCCCUAUGGGUUGUAAACUUCUUUUAGAUGGGAAUAAAAUGCCCCUUGCGAGGGGUACUGAAGGUACCAUCAGAAUAAGCACCGGCUAACUCCGUGCCAGCAGCCGCGGUAAUACGGAGGGUGCGAGCGUUAUCCGGAUUUACUGGGUUUAAAGGGUGCGUAGGCGGGUUGAUAAGUCUGUGGUGAAAGGUUGUAGCUUAACUAUAAAAUUGCCAUGGAUACUGUUAAUCUUGAAUUACAAUGAGGAUGGCGGAAUGUGACAUGUAGCGGUGAAAUGCAUAGAUAUGUCAUAGAACACCAAUUGCGAAGGCAGCUAUCUGGUUGAGGAUUGACGCUGAGGCACGAAAGCGUGGGGAUCGAAC
rnacentral:rRNA from 1 species